CUGCCCAUAGCUCAGCUGGAUAGAGCAACGGCCUUCUAAGCCGUAGGUCGCACGUUCGAGUCGUGCUGGGCAGGCCA
rnacentral:tRNA from 1 species